rnacentral:misc_RNA from 1 species
GAAAUGCGAUAAGUAAUGUGAAUUGCAGAAUUCCGUGAAUCAUCGAAUCUUUGAACGCACAUUGCGCCCUCUGGUAUUCCGGGGGGCAUGCCUGUCCGAGCGUCAUUUCGAACCCCUCAAGCACGGCUUGUGUGAUGGGCCCUCCCGCGUCUUGGUCGUCAAGACGGGCCCGAAAAGCAGUGGCGGCUUCGCGGUUAUCCGAUCAGUCAGAGCGUAUGGGGACUUUCUCUCUGUCACACGCCCGCGGCGCGGACCGACGCCUGUCGACCUUUAUUCAUCUUUUUCUCGGUUGACCUCGGAUCAGGUAGGGAUACCCGCUGAACUUAAGC